CCUACGGGGGGCAGCAGUAGGGAAUAUUGCUCAAUGGGGGAAACCCUGAAGCAGCAACGCCGCGUGGAGGAUGAAGGUCUUCGGAUUGUAAACUCCUUUUGUUAGAGAAGAUAAUGACGGUAUCUAACGAAUAAGCACCGGCUAACUCCGUGCCAGCAGCCGCGGUAAUACGGAGGGUGCGAGCGUUACUCGGAAUCACUGGGCGUAAAGAGCGCGUAGGCGGGAUAGCAAGUCAGAUGUGAAAUCCUAUGGCUUAACCAUAGAACUGCAUUUGAAACUGUUAUUCUAGAGUAUGGAAGAGGUAGGUGGAAUGCUUGGUGUAGGGGUAAAAUGCGUAGAGAUCAAGAAGAAUACUGAUUGCGAAGGCGACCUGCUAGAACAUAACUGACGCUGAUGCGCGAAAGCGUGGGGAGCAAACAGGAUUAGAUACCCUUGUAGUC
rnacentral:rRNA from 1 species